rnacentral:rRNA from 1 species
CACACGACUCUCGGCAACGGAUAUCUCGGCUCUCGCAUCGAUGAAGAACGUAGCGAAAUGCGAUACCUGGUGUGAAUUGCAGAAUCCCGUGAACCAUCGAGUCUUUGAACGCGAGUUGCGCCCGAGGCCAUUCGGCCGAGGGCACGCCUGCCUGGGCGUCACGC